rnacentral:SRP_RNA from 1 species
GACGGGCCUCCUCGCAUGGUGGGACGAUCAACCUGGUCAGGUCGGGAACGAAGCAGCCAAGGUCGUUUUCUGUCAGUGCCGAGGGUCGGGCUCGUCCAC